GUGAUUGCGAGCGUAAGUUCGAGGAAAGUCCGAGCUCCAAAGGGCAGGAUGCCGGAUAACGUCCGGCGUGGGUAACCAUAGGGAAUAGUGCCACAGAAAAGUAAACCGCCACAGCAAUGUGGUAAGGGUGGAACGGUGUCGGUAAGAGCGCACCAGCAAUGCAGUAAUGUAUUGGCUCGGUAAACCCCAUCCGGAGCAAGGCCGAAUAGGAAAGGGAUAAGGGUGGCCCGCCUACCUUUCGGGUUGUGCCGCUUGAGCCUAUAGGCAACUAUAGGCCUAGAAAGAUAAUCACCACUGCGCAAGCAGAACAGAACUCGGCUUAUUGAUUGCUU
rnacentral:RNase_P_RNA from 1 species